rnacentral:lncRNA from 1 species
GGUAGAGAUGGGGUCUUGCUAUGUUGCCCAGGCUGGUCUUGAAUGGUCAGAGAAUAUAUCUGUAUUGCUUUAAGCCACAGGGUUUGUGGUCAUUUGUUACAGCAGCAAUAGGAAACUCAUCCACAGUGACAAAUGGGAACUCAGAGCUACCAGGGAGGUGUCAUUUUGAGAAUUACUAAAAAGAAGAUUGUUCUGUGGCCGCCACACACCUGGGGAGGGGGGUCCUGCUCAGAAUAGGCACCAUUUCAGCAGGCACCAUUUCAGCAGGCACCAUUUCAGCAGGCAGGAACCAACUAGGGAAGGGGAAGUCCAAGUGAGAGAGUGCUUUUCACUAGGAAGAGGACCUGGAGACACAGACCUGCGGCAGCACACACAUGGCCUCUGAACAGAACACUUUUCUAGCCCACACUUCAGAGUACUUUGCCAGGCGCAGUGGCUCAUGCUUGUAUUCCCAGCACUUUGGUAGCUGAGGCAGGUGGAUCACCUGAGGUCAGGAGUUCGAGACCAGCCUGGCCAACAUGGUAAAACCCCGUCUCUACUAAAAAUACAAGGAUUCUCCCUC